UUGAAAUAUUUGUUGCUCAUUUACAAUAUUUAUAUUAUUUGAUUUAAAAAGAUUGAUCAACUUAAGCAUAAUCUGUUUAGGUGUGUGGGUAUGCCAAUUCUCAAAGAAAGUGAAAAGUUAAAGCAAAAGACAAUCCCAUUCCUAUGGAACGUUAAAUAUCUCUUUUGAUGGACUGGAUCUUGGACGUAUCUUAUUCUUGUGAUAUUAUAUAGAUUACAUAAUUUUUUGUACAUAUAGUUAAGGACAGCACCUAUAAUUUUAGUUGAAAAGGUCUUUUCUUCUUACCAUAGUACAAUAAUAGUUAUUCUGGUUAGCUAUGUUGCCGAUGUACAUAGCAGAGGUUCUAAG
rnacentral:misc_RNA from 1 species